rnacentral:rRNA from 1 species
CCUACGGGAGGCAGCAGUGAGGAAUAUUGGUCAAUGGGCGCGAGCCUGAACCAGCCAAGUCGCGUGAGGGAAGACGGUCCUAUGGAUUGUAAACCUCUUUUGUCGGGGAGCAAAAGACGCCACGCGUGGCGUUCCGAGAGUACCCGAAGAAAAAGCAUCGGCUAACUCCGUGCCAGCAGCCGCGGUAAUACGGAGGAUGCGAGCGUUAUCCGGAUUUAUUGGGUUUAAAGGGUGCGCAGGCGGAAUAUCAAGUCAGCGGUAAAAUUGAGAGGCUCAACCUCUUCGAGCCGUUGAAACUGGUUGUCUUGAGUGAGCGAGAAGUAUGCGGAAUGCGUGGUGUAGCGGUGAAAUGCAUAGAUAUCACGCAGAACUCCGAUUGCGAAGGCAGCAUACCGGCGCUCAACUGACGCUGAUGCACGAAAGUGUGGGUAUCGAACAGGAUUAGAUACCCUAGUAGUC